AGCGAACGCUGGCGGCAGGCCUAAUACAUGCAAGUCGAGCGCCCCUUCGGGGGAGCGGCGGACGGGUGAGUAACGCGCGGGAAUGCGCCCUUUGGUACGGAACAACACAGGGAAACUUGUGCUAAUACCGUAUGUGCCCUUCGGGGGAAAGAUUUAUCGCCAUUGGAGCAGCCCGCGUUGGAUUAGGUAGUUGGUGAGGUAAAGGCUCACCAAGCCUACGAUCCAUAGCUGGUCUGAGAGGAUGACCAGCCACACUGGGACUGAGACACGGCCCAGACUCCUACGGGAGGCAGCAGUAGGGAAUCUUGCGCAAUGGGCGAAAGCCUGACGCAGCCAUGCCGCGUGUAUGAUGAAGGUCUUAGGAUUGUAAAAUACUCUCACCGGGGAAGAUAAUGACGGUACCCGGAGAAGAAGCCCCGGCUAACUUCGUGCCAGCAGCCGCGGUAAGAC
rnacentral:rRNA from 1 species